UACGAAGGGGGCUAGCGUUGUUCGGAUUUACUGGGCGUAAAGCGCACGUAGGCGGAUCGUUAAGUCGGGGGUGAAAUCCUGGAGCUCAACUCCAGAACUGCCUUCGAUACUGGAGAUCUUGAGUCCGGGAGAGGUGAGUGGAAUUCCUGGUGUAGCGGUGAAAUGCGUAGAUAUCAGGAGGAACACCCAUGGCGAAGGCAGCUCGCUGGCCUGCAACUGACGCUGUAGUGCGAAAGCGUGGGGAGCAAACAGG
rnacentral:rRNA from 1 species